UUUUCUGUAAUCCUUUUAGUGAAAAAAAUCACAGGCGUUUAAGAAUAUCUCACCAGAACAACAGACAUCGCCGCCGAAGAGAUCAGUAGGAGAAACCAAUUUUAUAUUGGAAAGUAAAAAGUCACUAAAGGCAAUCAUUAUAUGGCCUUUGAUUUGUUCUUCAGGUCCACUAAUUUUUGGGUUACAAAUGAUAGUAAUUUUUGUAUCAUAACCAAAAGGCCAAAAUCAAUUCAUAUAAUUAGGCUUUGUUAAUAUAAUUACUACAGAUACAUAUUUUUUUGGAGUUACUUUUCCAAUUAGUUUCAUAGUUUUUAUCGAUUUUUUUUUCUUUUUAAAGCUAUAUAAACAAAAGAAAAAAAAUUAUUUUCCAAUUUUUUCAUAUAAUUACUACAAAUUUCUUUUUUUUUCUUUUUAAUGCUCUAUUUUUUUAUUUUAAUAUAUUUUUAAAUAUAUUUUUUCUUAUUU
rnacentral:lncRNA from 1 species